UACGUAGGGCGCAAGCGUUGUUCGGAAUUACUGGGCGUAAAGGGCUCGUAGGCGGCCAACUAAGUCCGACGUGAAAUCCCCAGGCUUAACCUGGGAACUGCGUCGGAUACUGGAUGGCUUGAAUUCGGGAGAGGGAUGCAGAACUUCCAGGUGUAGCGGUGAAAUGCGUAGAUAUCGUUGGAACGCCAAUGGUGAAAACAGCUCGCUGGGGAUGCACCGACGCUGAGACACGAAAGCCAGGGGAGCGAACGGG
rnacentral:rRNA from 1 species